rnacentral:rRNA from 1 species
AGUAAUGAAUAGGAAUCUGCCUAGUAGUGGGGGACAACGUGGUGAAAACCACGCUAAUACCGCAUACGCCCUACGGGGGAAAACGGAGGAUCUUCGGACUUCGUGCUAUUAGAUGAGCCUAUUUCUGAUUAGCUUGUUGGUGAGGUAAUGGCUCACCAAGGCGACGAUCAGUAGCUGGUUUGAGAGAAUGAUCAGCCACACUGGGACUGAGACACGGCCCAG